rnacentral:rRNA from 1 species
UACGAAGGGGGCUAGCGUUGUUCGGAAUUACUGGGCGUAAAGCGUGCGUAGGUGGUUCGUUGUGUCUGUGGUGAAAGCCCCGGGCUUAACCUGGGAAUGGCCAUGGAAACUGGCGAGCUGGAGUCUGGCAGAGGGGGGUGGAAUUCCGCGUGUAGCAGUGAAAUGCGUAGAGAUGCGGAGGAACACCGAUGGCGAAGGCAGCCCCCUGGGCUAAGACUGACGCUGAGGCACGAAAGCGUGGGGAGCAAACAGG